ensembl:lncRNA
CUCCAAGCCAAUCUCCAGGUUUAGUGUUGCACAAUUCCCCUAAUUCUGAAUCUCCCUAGCCAGGCUUCAGCUUCAGGACUGUUCUGAAUCUCCCUGGUCAGGUUUCACCUUCAGGAAUGUUCUGAAUCUCCCUGGUCAGGUUUCACCUUCAGGACUGUUCUGAAUCUCCCUGGUCAGGUUUCAGCUUCAGGACUGUUCUGAAUCUCCCUGGUCAGGUUUCACCUUCAGGACUGUUCUGAAUCUCCCUGGUCAGGUUUCAGCUUCAGGACUGUUCUGAAUCUCCCUGGUCAGGUUUCACCUUCAGGACUGUUCUGAAUCUCCCUGGUCAGGUUUCAGCUUCAGGACUGUUCUGAAUCUGAAGACGAUCCAAACAGGGUUCCAUGAGAAAUUGGGAGUCCACCCCUCCAUUUUCUAAAGCUCCGCCUCUAUCAAAUUGUUCUGUUUGGCUCAGUUGGUAGAACAUGGCACUUGUAACACCAGGGUUGCGGGUUGGAUUCCCGCUGGGAUCACCCAUAGUUUCUACACGCUACUGUAAGUGUUUGUUUCUAGCUUUGAGGC